rnacentral:rRNA from 1 species
GAUGAACGCUGGCGGCGUGCCUAAUACAUGCAAGUCGAGCGAACAGACGAGGAGCUUGCUCCUCUGACGUUAGCGGCGGACGGGUGAGUAACACGUGGAUAACCUACCUAUAAGACUGGGAUAACUUCGGGAAACCGGAGCUAAUACCGGAUAAUAUAUUGAACCGCAUGAUUCAAUAGUGAAAGACGGUUUUGCUGUCACUUAUAGAUGGAUCCGCGCCGCAUUAGCUAGUUGGUAAGGUAACGGCUUACCAAGGCAACGAUGCGUAGCCGACCUGAGAGGGUGAUCGGCCACACUGGAACUGAGACACGGUCCAGACUCCUACGGGAGGCAGCAGUAGGGAAUCUUCCGCAAUGGGCGAAAGCUUGACGGAGCAACGCCGCGUGAGUGAUGAAGGUCUUCGGAUCGUAAAGCUCUGUUAUUAGGGAAGAACAAAUGUGUAAGUAACUAUGCACGUCUUGACGGUACCUAAUCAGAAAGCCACGGCUAACUACGUG